rnacentral:lncRNA from 1 species
CCAGAAAAUGUUAUUUCAAUUUUAUUUGAGGAUGCUAACGGGUCUGCGUGCCCACGCAUUGUUAGAGUGUAAUUUUUGUUUUUGUUUUUCUUAAUAAUAUAAAGGGGACUUUCCCCUUUUUCCACCAAAAAAAAAAACAUUAAAUUUGAUUGAUUACAAGUUCUAGAGAUGCAUGAAGAGUGUUUAGAAGAGUGUAGAAAGACUUGCUGAAAUUUGGGCC